UCAGACAACAGAGAGAAAUAAAAGGUAUCCAAAUUGACAAUGAAGAAGCCAAACUCUCUCUCUUCGCAGACGACAUGAUUCUAUAUAUGGAAAACCCAAAGGA